AAUGAACGCUGGCGGCGUGCCUAACACAUGCAAGUCGGAUGUGCCGCAAGGUGCAUGGCAGACGGGUGAGUAACGCGUGGGGAAUCUACCUCUUAGUGGGGAAUAACGCUCCGAAAGGAGUGGUAAUACCGCAUGAGACCUUCGGCUGGAAUGCUGGAGGUGAAACCUGGGGACCGCAAGGCCUGGGGCUAGGAGAGGAUCCUGCGUCUGAUUAGCUAGUUGGCGGGGUAAUGGCCCACCAAGGCGACGAUCAGUAGCCGGCCUGAGAGGGUGAUCGGCCACACUGGAACUGAGACACGGUCCAGACUCCUACGGGAGGCAGCAGUGGGGAAUUUUGCGCAAUGGACGAGAGUCUGACGCAGCAACGCCGCGUGGGUGAUGAAGGUCUUCGGACUGUAAAACCCUGUCGUCAGGGACGAAGGUGCUCGUGUUAAUAGCGCGAGUGCUUGACGGUACCUGGAGAGGAAGCCCCGGCUAACUCUGUGCCAGCCGCCGCGGUAA
rnacentral:rRNA from 1 species